AACAUCUUCAUUUCAUGGCAGUCACGAAUUCUCAAUUCUCUGAGAAAUGGAAAUUCAGUAACAUGCUUUGUCAAAAAGAAAUGCCUCAGCUUACGCAGUUCUUUAAGCUCCAACUUUUCCAACAGGGGAAAUAAGGUCAUGAUUUCUUCUCCUUGUUGUUCCUCUUCUGUGAUCACUUCUUCUAUCGACACACAAUUGUCUAUUAAUAUUCUUCGUAGAUUCAGUGCACCCCGAGCCACUGAUGGAGACAUCAAGUUUCUCAAGUUUCCACAAUCCGAUACAUACAAUGUUUCAAGUUUGUUGAAGUAGGCAGUUGGAAGUUGGUGAGAGCAUAGAGCACUUAUGCUUUUAAGUUUCCUGAUGAUUAGCUCUUUCAAGUUAGGACAAGAAACCUGCAAACGUUGAAGUAUGAUAAAGCAAUUCAGAAUUUGAAAUUUAUAGAUAUCUCUAAUGAUCUCAGGUUAAUAUCCAAUAACAAUCGCGUUCACAAUCAAGGAAUCUCUAGAUAUUACUAAUACAGAUUAAAGUCUCUAGGAAAAAGCUAUUAGAUUCACGUGAACCCUUGAGUUACAAUAUUGUAGCUUCGCUUAUAUUUCUUACCUCCGUUUACAUAGAUAUCAGGUGGCAAACAGAAAUAACUAUAUGAAAAUAUUACUAUUACUAUUAUUAUUUGCUAGUUAAAAUGGAAAGAUAGCAACACACCAGGGGUGUAUUAAUGUAUGACACAAAUAUAUAUAGUAUUUAGUUAUAAAGCUAACGGCACAAGACAAACCUUAGAAUUGAACAUUGCUUUAUUGAGAUCAACUACUUUCACCUCAUCAGCAUUGUUCACACUUUCGAGACUCAGCGUACUCACAGAUAUUCCCUGUUGGACAAACAUCUUCAUUUCAUGGCAGUCAUGAAUUCUCAAUUCUCUGAGAAAUGGAAAUUCAGUAACACGCUUUGUCAAAAAGAAAUGCCUCAGCUUACGCAGUUCUUUAAGCUCCAACUUUUCCAAUAGGGGAAAUAAGGUCAUGAUUUCUUCUCCUUGUUGUUCCUCUUCUGUGAUCACUUCUUCCAUUGACACACAAUUGUGUAUUAAUAUUCUUCGUAGAUUCAGUGCACCCCGAGCCACUGAUGUUGACAUCAAGUUUCUCAAGUUUCCACAACUCGAUACAUACAAUAUUUCAAGUUUGCUGAAGUAGGCAGUUGGAAGUUGGUGAGAGCAUAGAGCAGUUAUGCUUUUAAGUGUCCAGAUGGUUAGAUCUUUCAAGUUGGGACAAGAAA
rnacentral:lncRNA from 1 species